AGCAGCCGCGGUAAUUCCAGCUCCAAUAGCGUAUAUUAAAGUUGUUGCAGUUAAAAAGCUCGUAGUUGAAUUUCGGGAUCAAUUUAUUGGUCGUGCUAUUGUACGUACUGGUAUUAUUGAUUCCUACCUUCUGACGAACCAUGAUGUCAUUAAUUUGGUGUCAUGGGGAAUCAGGACUGUUACUUUGAAAAAAUUAGAGUGUUUAAAGCAGGCUCACGCUUGAAUACAUUAGCAUGGAAUAACGAAAUAGGACGUUUGAUUCUAUUUUGUUGGUUUCUAGGAUCGACGUAAUGAUUAAUAGGGAUAGUUGGGGGCAUUAGUAUUCAAUUGUCAGAGGUGAAAUUCUUGGAUUUAUUGAAGACUAACUACUGCGAAAGCAUUUGCCAAGGAUGUUUUCAUUAAUCAAGAACGAAAGUUAGGGGAUCGAAGACGAUCAGAUACCGUCGUAGUCUUAACCAUAAACUAUGCCGACUAGGGAUCGGAUGA
rnacentral:rRNA from 1 species